rnacentral:pre_miRNA from 1 species
CUACUACUCCCUCCGUCCGAAAAUACUUGUCAUUGAAAUGGAUGUAUCUAGAUGUAUUUUAGUUCUAGACACAUCCAUUUUGAUGACAAGUAAUUCCGGA